UCUCGAGGGNAUUGCNUNUAGUACGGCGAGUGAGCGGCAAAAGCUCAAAUUUGAAAUCUGGCACCUUCGGUGUCCGAGUUGUAAUUUGAAGAAGGUAACUUUGGAGUUGGCUCUUGUCUAUGUUCCUUGGAACAGGACGUCACAGAGGGUGAGAAUCCCGUGCGAUGAGAUGCCCAAUUCUAUGUAAAGUGCUUUCGAAGAGUCGAGUUGUUUGGGAAUGCAGCUCUAAGUGGGUGGUAAAUUCCAUCUAAAGCUAAAUAUUGGCGAGAGACCGAUAGCGAACAAGUACAGUGAUGGAAAGAUGAAAAGAACUUUGAAAAGAGAGUGAAAAAGUACGUGAAAUUGUUGAAAGGGAAGGGCUUGAGAUCAGACUUGGUAUUUUGCGAUCCUUUCCUUCUUGGUUGGGUUCCUCGCAGCUUACUGGGCCAGCAUCGGUUUGGAUGGUAGGAUAAUGACUAAGGAAUGUGGCUCUACUUCGGUGGAGUGUUAUAGCCUUGGUUGAUACUGCCUGUCUAGACCGAGGACUGCGUCUUUUGACUAGGAUGUUGGCAUAAUGAUCUUAAGCCACCCGUCUGAACACCAGGAGACAAAAA
rnacentral:rRNA from 1 species